rnacentral:snRNA from 1 species
AUACUUACCUGGCAGGGGAGACACCAUGACCAGGAAAGUGGUUUUCCCAGGGCAAGAAUCAUCCAUUGCACUGUGGGUGUGCUGACCCCUGCGAUCUUCCCAAAUGCAGGAAACUCAACUGCAUAAUUUGUGGUAGUGGGGAAUGCUUCCGCGCUCUCCCCUG